AUUGAACGCUGGCGGCAGGCUUAACACAUGCAAGUCGAGCGGGGGAGGUUGCUUCGGUAACUGACCUAGCGGCGGACGGGUGAGUAAUGCUUAGGAAUCUGCCUAUUAGUGGGGGACAACAUUCCGAAAGGAAUGCUAAUACCGCAUACGCCCUACGGGGGAAAACAGGGGAUCUUCGGACCUUGCGCUAAUAGAUGAGCCUAAGUCGGAUUAGCUAGUUGGUGGGGUAAAGGCCUACCAAGGCGACGAUCUGUAGCGGGUCUGAGAGGAGGAUCAGCCACACUGGAACUGAGACGCGGUCCAGACUCCUACGGGGAGCAGCAGUGGGGAAUAUUGGACAAUGAGCGAAAGCCUGAUCCAGCCAUGCCGCGUGUGUGAAGAAGGUCUUCGGAUUGUAAAGCACUUUAAGUUGGGAGGAAGGGUUGUAAGCUAAUAUCUUGCAGCUUUGACGUUACCAACAGAAUAAGCACCGGCUAACUCUGUGCCAGCCGCCGCGGUAAAAC
rnacentral:rRNA from 1 species